rnacentral:rRNA from 1 species
GAUGGGUCUGCGGCCUAUCAGGGUAGUAGUGGGUGUAACGUACCUACUAGCCUACGACGGGUACGGGUUGUGAGAGCAAGAGCCCGGAGAUGGAUUCUGAGACACGAAUCCAGGCCCUACGGGGUGCAGCAGGCGCGAAAACUUUACAAUGCGGGAAACCGUGAUAAGGGGACACCGAGUGCCAGCAUCAUAUGCUGGCUGUCCGGAUGUGUAAAAUACAUCCGUUAGCAAGGGCCGGGCAAGACCGGUGCCAGCCGCCGCGGUAACACCGGCGGCCCGAGUGGUGAUCGUGAUUAUUGGGUCUAAAGGGUCCGUAGCCGGUUUGGUCAGUCCUCCGGGAAAUCUGAUAGCUCAACUAUUAGGCUUUCGGGGGAUACUGCCAGACUUGGAACCGGGAGAGGUAAGAGGUACUACAGGGGUAGGAGUGAAAUCUUGUAAUCCCUGUGGGACCACCUGCGGCGAAGGCGUCUUACCAGAACGGGUUCGACGGUGAGGGACGAAAGCUGGGGGCACGAACCGGAUUAGAUACCCGGGUAGUCCCAGCCGUAAACGAUGCUCGCUAGGUGUCAGGCAUGGCGCGACCGUGUCUGGUGCCGCAGGGAAGCCGUGAAGCGAGCCACCUGGGAAGUACGGCCGCAAGGCUGAAACUUAA